GGGCCCGCACAAGCGGUGGAGCAUGUGGUUUAAUUCGAUGCAACGCGAAGAACCUUACCUGCCCUUGACAUACAGCGAACCCUGAAGAGAUUCGGGGUGCCGAAAGGAGCGCUGAUACAGGUGCUGCAUGGCUGUCGUCAGCUCGUGUCGUGAGAUGUUGGGUUAAGUCCCGUAACGAGCGCAACCCUUAUUCUUAGUUACCAUCGGGUAAAGCCGGGCACAUUAAGAAGACUGCCGGUGACAAACCGGAGGAAGGCGGGGACGACGUCAAGUCAUCAUGGCCCUUAUGGGCAGGGCUACACACGUGCUACAAUGGUUGGUACAGAGAGAAGCGAAGCGGUAACGUGGUGCAAAUCUCAGAAAGCCAAUCGUAGUCCGGAUUGAGGUCUGCAACUCGACCUCAUG
rnacentral:rRNA from 1 species